rnacentral:rRNA from 1 species
GACCCACCUGAUUCCAUCCCGAACUCAGAAGUGAAACGAAACAGCGUCGAUGGUAGUGUGGGGUCUCCCCAUGUGAGAGUAGAACAUCGCCAGGC